rnacentral:tRNA from 1 species
GGUAAAAUAAGCUAAAAUAAGCUAUUGGGCUCAUGACCCGACGAUGGGUGGAUACUCUACCCUUUUACCU